rnacentral:rRNA from 1 species
CAGUAGCCGCGGGAAUACAGAGGGUGCGAGCGUUAAUCGGAUUUACUGGGCGUAAAGCGUGCGUAGGCGGCUUCUUAAGUCGGAUGUGAAAUCCCUGAGCUUAACUUAGGAAUUGCAUUCGAUACUGGGAAGCUAGAGUAUGGGAGAGGAUGGUAGAAUUCCAGGUGUAGCGGUGAAAUGCGUAGAGAUCUGGAGGAAUACCGAUGGCGAAGGCGGCCCCCUGGACAAAGACUGACGCUCAGGUGCGAAAGCGUGGGGAGCAAACAGGAUUAGAUACCCCGGUAGUCCCUGUCUCUUAUAC